ACAGAUGUCUCAUGUUGGAAAUGCUAUUAUUAGAUUACAUAUUUCUCGAACUGUCAUGACAACUGAUUAUGAUUAUGGCAGUGAUAUAUGUAAUAGUCAAAAUGUGGCCAUUGAUUGAAUAUUAAAAUCGGCUUCCCAUUGGUCAACGCCGGCUCGGGAUUGCGUGCUGCAGCUGUAGAAUAAUGAUGGGACGGUUUGGAGAACAUUAUUACUGCGGCUGCUGUCACUGUUUGCUGUGGUGGACAGUCACUUCAAUCAGUGUCAUACAAUGAGUAUUAAUGUGUGAAAAGAGCUGAUUAUAGUAAUGGUUGCGUCUUUUUAUUCUCUUAAACGUCCACGUAUAUGAUUCAGGCCAUGAUCGAGAAAAUCCUCAUGGGAGUUUCACUCAAACGUGAGACACAUUAGGAUACAUUAGGAAGAGAUUGUAAAAUGAUUGUAUGGUAAUGGCUGCUGUAUUUUAACUAGAUUACAGUGGAAAUGACACAAAGACAUCCUUAGGAUGAAUCUAAUGGAAAUAGAACAUGGAAGUAGCUUUAAAUGCGUAACUGCAUUCAGACUCAUUCCACUGAAAUGCAUCUACAAACGCAUGUGUGUAUUUCUAUAAAUACAUACAGUAUGUAUGAAGGUGCAGUUGUGACAAAUGUGCGCACAUCCGUGUGCGCCUCUCAUCACCGACGCGUCCAGCUCCGCACGCGUGUAGUGGGAACCGCUGCAGCUCCCUCCUCCAUGCGUAAAUUAUGUAGGGCAGGACGGCAAUGCUCUGCUACCUCCAUUUGAGAAAACCCGGCCGGUGAAUGUGAGGCGAACACAUAAAUAAAGGAAGAGAAAAAGAAGAAAGAAAGAGAGCAGAAGAAGAAGCCACCCUCAUCCUCAAGCAGCAUUUGACAGAGGAGGAGUGGCGCAUCACGACCUGCAUAUUGUGAAGCCAAGGAGAAGAAAAGAUGGACAUUACGGAUCAAGGAGCUCAAAUGGAGCCGUUGUUACCCACGGAACACAGUCCCCAAGAAAAUAAAGAUGUGAGAACGGAUGAGGAGGCGGUGGUGGAUCGAGGGGGCACACGCUCCAUGCUCAACACCAACUUUGAGAAGGAAGAGCUA